rnacentral:lncRNA from 1 species
AAAUUUAAUGAAACUUAUAACAAAUGUUGCCUAGCUUAUGUAGACUUGACUUUUGAGUUUGGAAUUUUCAAAAUGGCCGCCGCUCACCUGGCAAUAGGGGAAGGGUGCCAUCCGUUAUUGCUAGCAAUUACAAAUCUAGUUAUUAUGGCACCCUCAACGGAGUUGGGGUGACGUAUUGUUAUUCUACGUUUCUUUUUUUUCUUAUUAUUAUUAUUUUUCUUGCAACAAAUUUUGUCCAGGUGAUUUCUCGAAAUCCAAUGGACCAAUGUUGAUGGAACUCUACUAUAGUAAGGACCCCCAGGUGCAGAGUUGCAGGAAGCAUGGAAUGGUUCAAGAUGGCUACCGUUUCCAUGGAAACAGAACAAAUGUGAAAAAAUCCAGUUUUUUGUUUUGGUGAACUGUUUGGAUAUGCUUUAUCUCAGAAUCAUUAUAUUUUAAUACAAUGUAGGUGCCCACUAUAUACAGGUGUUGGAUGAUUUUGGUGAUCAUUGGAACUACUAUGUUGCCAUGGAAACUACACCAAAAAUUUCGAAAUUCUCAAAAUGCUCCAAACUUCAGGAAACUUCACAGUAACGAUGAGCAACAUUGGAAGAUGUGGAAUUUGGCGUUGGAAUUUCCAAAAUAUCUGUUGUUACCUUGGAAACAAUGCAAAAAGGUCAAAACUUUGAAUUUUCACAGAACAUUCCAGAACAUCAAUGU